UGGGGUGUGGCUCAGUGGUGGAGCGCUUACCUGGUAUGUAUAAGGCACUGGGUUCGACCCUCAGCACCACAU
rnacentral:tRNA from 1 species